AUGCGACCACCUUUGGGUGCUUGUGCUCGCGCCUCCGGCUCGCAGGCGCACUCCGGAGUCGGAGGCGCGCGCCGCGAGAGGCAACGUGUACGGGAGAGGGAGGCGGCGGAGCAGUCCGCGCGCCGCCGCCGUGGGACGAAGCCGGACGUCGACAAGGACGCGCGUCUCCUCGCCUGGGUGUACCACCGCUCCCUCACAGCGUCGAAGACGGACGCUUGCCUCCGACGGAAGAACGCCAAGGCGCUCUGGCUAGCCAUUGAGCAGCCGGAGCGCGAGGCGAAUGAGGCAACGGUGGAGGAGGCACGUGUGGCAAGGCUGAAGCGGGAGCAGGACAGGGCGGUCCGUCGGAUGAAGGAGCUCGUUGUCCUUUCCAACUCCAAAUCCGACAGCGGCGACAUCGGCACCUCGUCGUCCGACGACCAAGACCCUCCACCAGUCUCGGACGCCUAA
rnacentral:rRNA from 1 species